AGCGAACGCUAGCGGAUGGCUUAACACAUGCAAGUCGAGCGGGCAGCUUCGGCUGUCUAGCGGCGAACGGGUGCGUAACACGUGGGUAAUCUGCCUUCUGGUGGGGGAUAACCCGACGAAAGUCGGGCUAAUACCGCAUAUGGCCUACGGGUCAAAGCAGCAAUGCGCCAGUUGAUGAGCCCGCGGCCCAUUAUUUAAUCCUAGUUGGCGGGGUAACGGCCCACCAAGGGUACGAUGGGUAGCUGGUCUGAGAGGACGAUCAGCCACACUGGGACUGAGACACGGCCCAGACUCCUACGGGAGGCAGCAGUGGGGAAUAUUGCGCAAUGGGCGAAAGCCUGACGCAGCCAAUCCGCGUGGGUGAUGAAGGCCUCGGUUGUAAAGCCCUGUCGUGAGGGACGAAGUUCUGACGGUACCUCACAAGAAAGCACCGGCUAACCCCGUGCCAGC
rnacentral:rRNA from 1 species